rnacentral:rRNA from 1 species
GACGAACGCUGGCGGCGUGCUUAACACAUGCAAGUCGAACGAUGAAGAAGAGAAACGCGAACUUCGGUUCAAAUUUCACUUCGGAUUAGUGGCAGACGGGUGAGUAACGCGUGAGCAACCUACCUCUUACAAAGGGAUAGCCUCGGGAAACCGUGAUUAAUACCAUAUGACACAUUCAUAAGGCAUCUUAAGAAUGUUAAAGCUACGGCGGUAAGAGAUGGGCUCGCGUCCCAUUAGCUAGUUGGUGAGGUAACGGCCCACCAAGGCGACGAUGGGUAACCGGCCUGAGAGGGUGACCGGUCACAAUGGAACUGAGACACGGUCCAAACUCCUACGGGAGGCAGCAGUGGGGAAUAUUGCACAAUGGAGGGAACUCUGAUGCAGCGACGCCGCGUGAGCGAUGAAGGAAUUCGUAUCGUAAAGCUCUGUUCUAUGGGAAGAAAAGGACUGUACCAUAGGAGAAAGCCCCGGCUAAAUACGUG